rfam:Sorghum bicolor cultivar BTx623 chromosome 1, whole genome shotgun sequence.
UCUGAGUGGAAUGUUGUCUGGUUCAAGGUCUCGCUUGUGAUUUAAGGAUGAUUUGUGCAUGCGUAAUUUUUAUUCCUUGAAUCUAUGAGAUCUCGGACCAGGCUUCAUUCCCCUCAGC